rnacentral:rRNA from 1 species
UAGAGUUUGAUCAUGGCUCAGGAUGAACGCUAGCGGGAGGCUUAAUACAUGCAAGUCGAACGGUAACAUGAGAGCUUGCUCUUGAUGACGAGUGGCGCACGGGUGAGUAACGCGUACGGAAUCUGCCCUUAAGAGGGGGAUAGCCCGGGGAAACCCGGAGUAAUCCGCCAUGUGAUUAUGGAGUGGCAUCACUUUAUAAUUAAAACUACGGUGCUUAAGGAUGAUCGUGCGUUUGAUUAGGUAGUUGGUGAGGUAACGGCUCACCAAGCCGAUGAUCAAUAGGGGGCGUGAGAGCGUGAUCCCCCACACGGGUACUGAGACACGGACCCGACUCCUACGGGAGGCAGCAGUAAGGAAUAUUGGACAAUGGGCGGAAGCCUGAUCCAGCCAUCCCGCGUGGAGGAUGACGGCCCUCUGGGUUGUAAACUCCUUUUAUAUACCAAGAAACGCCCCCACGUGUGGGGGUUUGACGGUAGUAUAUGAAUAAGCACCGGCUAACUCCGUGCCAGCAGCCGCGGUAAUACGGAGGGUGCAAGCGUUAUCCGGAAUUACUGGGUUUAAAGGGUGCGUAGGCGGUUUUAUAAGUCAGUGGUGAAAAGUCUGGGCUCAACCGA